GCUUACCAACCCGAUGCAAACUGCGAAUACCGGAGAAUGUUAUCACGGGAGACACACGGCGGGUGCUAACGUCCGUCGUGAAGAGGGAAACAACCCAGACCGCCAGCUAAGGUCCCAAAGUCAUGGUUAAGUGGGAAACGAUGUGGGAAGGCCCAGACAGCCAGGAUGUUGGCUUAGAAGCAGCCAUCAUUUAAAGAAAGCGUAAUAGCUCACUGGUCGAGUCGGCCUGCGCGGAAGAUGUAACGGGGCUAAACCAUGCACCGAAGCUGCGGCAGCGACGCUGAUGCGUUGUUGGGUAGGGGAGCGUUCUGUAAGCCUGCGAAGGUGGCCUGUGAGGGUUGCUGGAGGUAUCAGAAGUGCGAAUGCUGACAUAAGUAACGAUAAAGCGGGUGAAAAGCCCGCUCGCCGGAAGACCAAGGGUUCCUGUCCAACGUUAAUCGGGGCAGGGUGAGUCGACCCCUAAGGCGAGGCCGAAAGGCGUAGUCGAUGGGAAACGGGUUAAUAUUCCCGUACUUGGUGUUACUGCGAAGGGGGGACGGAGAAGGCUAUGUUGGCCGGGCGACGGUUGUCCCGGUUUAAGCGUGUAGGUGUGUGUUCCAGGUAAAUCCGGUUCACUUUAACACUGAGGCGUGAUGACGAGGCACUACGGUGCUGAAGCAACAAAUGCCCUGCUUCCAGGAAAAGCCUCUAAGCAUCAGGUAACAUCAAAUCGUACCCCAAACCGACACAGGUGGUCAGGUAGAGAAUACCAAGGCGCUUGAGAGAACUCGGGUGAAGGAACUAGGCAAAAUGGUGCCGUAACUUCGGGAGAAGGCACGCUGACACGUAGGUGAAGUGAUUUACUCAUGGAGCUGAAGUCAGUCGAAGAUACCAGCUGGCUGCAACUGUUUAUUAAAAACACAGCACUGUGCAAACACGAAAGUGGACGUAUACGGUGUGACGCCUGCCCGGUGCCGGAAGGUUAAUUGAUGGGGUCAGCGCAAGCGAAGCUCCUGAUCGAAGCCCCGGUAAACGGCGGCCGUAACUAUAACGGUCCUAAGGUAGCGAAAUUCCUUGUCGGGUAAGUUCCGACCUGCACGAAUGGCGUAAUGAUGGCCAGGCUGUCUCCACCCGAGACUCAGUGAAAUUGAACUCGCUGUGAAGAUGCAGUGUACCCGCGGCAAGACGGAAAGACCCCGUGAACCUUUACUAUAGCUUGACACUGAACAUUGAGCCUUGAUGUGUAGGAUAGGUGGGAGGCUUUGAAGUGUGGACGCCAGUCUGCAUGGAGCCGACCUUGAAAUACCACCCUUUAAUGUUUGAUGUUCUAACGUGGACCCGUGAUCCGGGUUGCGGACAGUGUCUGGUGGGUAGUUUGACUGGGGCGGUCUCCUCCUAAAGAGUAACGGAGGAGCACGAAGGUUGGCUAAUCCUGGUCGGACAUCAGGAGGUUAGUGCAAUGGCAUAAGCCAGCUUGACUGCGAGCGUGACGGCGCGAGCAGGUGCGAAAGCAGGUCAUAGUGAUCCGGUGGUUCUGAAUGGAAGGGCCAUCGCUCAACGGAUAAAAGGUACUCCGGGGAUAACAGGCUGAUACCGCCCAAGAGUUCAUAUCGACGGCGGUGUUUGGCACCUCGAUGUCGGCUCAUCACAUCCUGGGGCUGAAGUAGGUCCCAAGGGUAUGGCUGUUCGCCAUUUAAAGUGGUACGCGAGCUGGGUUUAGAACGUCGUGAGACAGUUCGGUCCCUAUCUGCCGUGGGCGCUGGAGAACUGAGGGGGGCUGCUCCUAGUACGAGAGGACCGGAGUGGACGCAUCACUGGUGUUCGGGUUGUCAUGCCAAUGGCACUGCCCGGUAGCUAAAUGCGGAAGAGAUAAGUGCUGAAAGCAUCUAAGCACGAAACUUGCCCCGA
rnacentral:rRNA from 1 species